AACGAACGCUGGCGGCAUGCCUAACACAUGCAAGUCGAACGAAGCCUUCGGGCUUAGUGGCGCACGGGUGCGUAACGCGUGGGAAUCUGCCCUUGGGUUCGGAAUAACAGUUAGAAAUGACUGCUAAUACCGGAUGAUGUCUUCGGACCAAAGAUUUAUCGCCCAAGGAUGAGCCCGCGUAGGAUUAGGUAGUUGGUGGGGUAAUGGCCCACCAAGCCGACGAUCCUUAGCUGGUCUGAGAGGAUGAGCAGCCACACUGGGACUGAGACACGGCCCAGACUCCUACGGGAGGCAGCAGUGGGGAAUAUUGGACAAUGGGCGAAAGCCUGAUCCAGCAAUGCCGCGUGAGUGAUGAAGGCCUUCGGGUUGUAAAGCUCUUUUACCAGGGAUGAUAAUGACAGUACCUGGAGAAUAAGCUCCGGCUAACUCCGUGCCAGCAGCCGCCGUAA
rnacentral:rRNA from 1 species